CCUACGGGAUGCAGCAGUGAGGAAUAUUGGUCAAUGGACGCAAGUCUGAACCAGCCAUGCCGCGUGCAGGAAGACGGCUCUAUGAGUUGUAAACUGCUUUUGUACGAGGGUAAACGCAGAUACGCGUAUCUGUCUGAAAGUAUCGUACGAAUAAGGAUCGGCUAACUCCGUGCCAGCAGCCGCGGUAAUACGGAGGAUUCAAGCGUUAUCCGGAUUUAUUGGGUUUAAAGGGUGCGUAGGCGGUCGGAUAAGUUAGAGGUGAAAUCCCGAGGCUCAACUUCGGAAUUGCCUCUGAUACUGUUCGGCUAGAGAGUAGUUGCGGUAGGCGGAAUGUAUGGUGUAGCUGUGAAAUGCUUAGAGAUCAUACAGAACACCGAUUGCGAAGGCAGCUUACCAAGCUACUUCUGACGUUGAGGCACGAAAGCGUGGGGAGCAAACAGGAUUAGAUACCCGGGUAGUC
rnacentral:rRNA from 1 species